UCUGAUACCAUUCAUAUUUACUCAGGGCCAAACAACCAAGUGGAUGACUCACAAAAAAAUCUCAAAUGAACUAAAACAAGGCAUCUCUUGUAACUUUUAGUCUACUAUCCCUCAAGAGGAACAGACCAGAACUGUAGAGUUGGAGAAAACAAUCACAAUGAAUGCUAUUUCUCAAACCCGACACAGCAAAUAUUGGAGACCAGCAUGGCUCUGGGAACACCUCAAAUAACACAUGGAAUGGAACCAGGUUAUGGCUUGUCAGAAAAGAAGCCAGGCAAAGGAGAAGUAGGGACAAGUAAAGAAAAGAUUGGGUUAAGCAAUGCAAGGCAGAGCUCCAAAUGGACUUAACCCCACCUGGGGGCUGUUCCUGCACUUGAGUACUGAGCAACAAGUACAAGUGGUACAGCUGCAGAGGCCACGGUUCCCAAGGCCUGAUCCCUGGACCAGCAGCAUCAGCACCACUUGGGAACUUCCUAGAGAUGAGAAUGCUGAGCCUCCACCUGCAGUCCCCUGCCACAGUUCAUUUUGUGUUGCUGCAAUAAAGUG